rfam:Oryza nivara chromosome 5, whole genome shotgun sequence.
GGUCCCUGCACCUGUGAAUUUUCGUGUUCAACGAGUGAUUAUUUGUCUUAUUUUAAUUUUUUUUAUGAUUAAUAUUUUUUAUUGUCAUUAGAUAAUAAAACAUAAAUAAUACUUUAUACGUUAUUUAUUUUUUAAAUUUUUUUCAUAAACUUUUUAAAUAAGACGGACAAUCAAAAGCUGUAUACGGAAACCGGUAACUGCACUUAAA